GUGAGGAAUAUUGCGCAAUGGAGGCAACUCUGACGCAGCCAUGCCGCGUGCAGGAAGAAGGCGCUACGUGUUGUAAACUGCUUUUAACCGGGAAGAAACCCCAGGACGUGUCCUGGGUUGACGGUACCGGAGGAAUAAGCACCGGCUAACUUCGUGCCAGCAGCCGCGGUAAUACGAAGGGUGCAAGCGUUAUCCGGAUUCAUUGGGUUUAAAGGGUGCGUAGGCGGAGCGUUAAGUCAGUGGUGAAAUCCUGCAGCUUAACUGUAGACUUGCCAUUGAUACUGGCGCUCUUGAGUGCGCUUGAAGUGGGCGGAAUGUGCCGUGUAGCGGUGAAAUGCUUAGAUAUGGCACAGAACACCAAUUGCGAAGGCAGCUCACUAAGGCGAUACUGACGCUGAGGCACGAAAGCGUGGGGAUCGAACAGGAUUAGAAACCCUAGUAGUCC
rnacentral:rRNA from 1 species